rnacentral:rRNA from 1 species
UUGAACGCUGGCGGCAGGCCUAACACAUGCAAGUCGAGCGGAUGAAGGGAGCUUGCUCCUGGAUUCAGCGGCGGACGGGUGAGUAAUGCCUAGGAAUCUGCCUGGUAGUGGGGGAUAACGUCCGGAAACGGGCGCUAAUACCGCAUACGUCCUGAGGGAGAAAUUGGGGGAUCUUCGGACCUCACGCUAUCAGAUGAGCCUAGGUCGGAUUAGCUAGUUGGUGGGGUAAAGGCCUACCAAGGCGACGAUCCGUAACUGGUCUGAGAGGAUGAUCAGUCACACUGGAACUGAGACACGGUCCAGACUCCUACGGGAGGCAGCAGUGGGGAAUAUUGGACAAUGGGCGAAAGCCUGAUCCAGCCAUGCCGCGUGUGUGAAGAAGGUCUUCGGAUUGUAAAGCACUUUAAGUUGGGAGGAAGGGCAGUAAGUUAAUACCUUGCUGUUUUGACGUUACCAACAGAAUAAGCACCGGCUAACUUCGUG